GUGCUAUCGCUCCAGCUGCAACAUCUGUUGCCCCAUUGGUUGCCAGGGUUGAUUCGGCUGAUCUGGCUGGCUAGGCUGGUGUCCCCUUUCUCCAAGUGCACCCUCCGGAAGCUGCGCCUCCCGGACGAGGAUGGCCUUCCCCAAGUAUGCGAGUAGCUGCGCUCCCUGCUAGAUCCUCCAAACAAGCUUGGUACAUAUUUUCAAAUAAAUUAGAAAUCUUCUAUGUAUUAAAAUUCAGCCUUAUGUACUGCAUUAUUUAUGGUAACCACAGGCUACCUGUAGGUUAAAUAU
rnacentral:snRNA from 1 species